GUGAAAUAGUAAAACACCCCUGAUUUAAAAAAACAAAAAGAAAUAGAAAAAGCGAGUCGUGCUGUGCUGUGCUUCUCUCAAAGAAGAAAAGCUGAAGAACGUGGAGAAAAAUUGCACGGGUUCAGAACCCACGAAGCUGACGGUUUCCACAAUUUCAGAACCCAUCACCACCAUGUUACCUAUAUUUUAUUCGUCCGCUUCACUGGCACCCUUUUCUGCUUCAGAAAUCGAAAUCGAAAUUGCGAGUAAUCACCCAGGAGCACCUGGUGUAAAGACUGGCCAGACUCGGAAAACUUCCUUUCUCAUUCCGCACCACACCUGCUAUCCUGUAACUGAAGAUGUUGUUUCGCUAGAGCACCAAUGAAGAAAGCAUUUAGAGUUGAUGUGUUUGAUGUCAAUGUAUGAAUCAUAGUUAAGCUGUCGUCCAAUUGCUUCAGGAUUCUCUUCCAACAAUCUAUCCAUUGCUAGGUAUGGGUAUACGCCCACAUUCACCUACCUUUACAUUAGUUUCUUUGUUUGCUAAUCAUACUUUUUUACCUAAUAAAGCAACAAGCAGCUCAAAGAAGAACAAUGAAAACAUUGAACCGAGAAAAUCAUUUUGCUUGCUCCUUUGUAUUUGAUUUUAUUAUAUAAACCAAAACAAUGAAGACUACAACCUCAACAUGCUCAAGGUUGAACUUUGCAAUAUAUGUAUUAUAUUUUGUAAAUAAUUAAUCAUUUGUAUUAAUAAUCGAUGUACCUUAUUUGAUUCAUAGAAGAAGUUCAUUUUCAACGUA